rnacentral:rRNA from 1 species
AGCAGCCGCGGUAAUUCCAGCUCCAAUAGCGUAUAUUAAAGUUGUUGCAGUUAAAAAGCUCGUAGUUGAAUUUCGGGAUCAUCAGGUUGGUCGUGCCUCUGGUAUGUACUUUCCUCGAUGGUUCCUCCUUCUUGAAGAACCGUAAUGCCAUUAAUUUGGUGUUGCGGGGAAACAGGACUGUUACUUUGAAAAAAUUAGAGUGUUUAAAGCAGGCAAUCGCUUGAAUACAUUAGCAUGGAAUAAUGAAAUAGGACGUUCGAUCCUAUUUUGUUGGUUUCUAGGAUUGACGUAA